rfam:Myotis lucifugus cont2.9539, whole genome shotgun sequence.
GCCAGUAUGGCUCAGUGGUUGAGCAUCAACCUGUGAAAUAGGAGGUCACGGGUUUAAUUCCUGGUCAGGGCA